AGGAGUGUAGCUCAGUUUGGUAGAGCAGCGGUCUCCAAAACCGCGGGCCGGGGGUUCGAGUCCCUCCACUCCUGCCA
rnacentral:tRNA from 1 species